GUCUGCAUGUAAACAGCUCUAUCGGUCUGCAUGUAAACAGCUCUAUCGGUCUGCAUGUAAACAGCUCUAUCGGUCUGCAUGUAAACAGCUCUAUCAGUCUGCAUGGAAACAGCACUAUCAGUCUGCUAUGACAUAUUUUCUUCUCUCCUCCUCAUCCUCCACCUUCCAGACAAUCAAAUAGGACACAUUAGGAUCAUGUGACAGAUUGUUUAUACUGUCAGUGCAUAUACACGCCCGCUGUUUCUUUCCCCUGGCCUAGAAACGAGAGUAUAACCCAGACAGGGCAGGUUCUGGGGCCAUGAUAAAAUGCUGCAGGGCUCUGCACUGAUGUCCAUUCACAUUUCCCCUGCUCGCUAUGUCACUAUUCAACCCUACACGUCAUAAUCACAUUACUGUCAAAGGCCGGCUUUGUGCCCCUCUCAGUCACGUUCUCAUUUUUCUCCCUGACAAUGGAGACGUUACUGAAAUAAGCCUCAUUCCUGGCUGGCUCAGAGUAGAGGGAGGAGAGAAGAGGAAACGGAACAGAAGAGAGAACUUAACCCUACAUGUAAGUAUUUAACCACCUGAAUCGUUCAACAUUGUGUACAGAAACCGGAUUGUGUACAGACAUCAUAAUCCUAGACAUUACUCUGACGACAUAGUCUGUUUAUAUAUAUAUAACCAUCUUCAACAGGGUACAUCCACAGACACCUGAUCUCUCUCUCUCCUAGACAGAAGGAAAAGCGCUGCAGGUGCAGGACAUGUUGAGAGAUGGGUUGUAUUAACAUUAUAGUCUCUGUCCCACCUGAGCCCAGAAACGCUACAAAAAACAAUACCUUUCCCCCUCUCUACACAGGACUGAUGGAGUGGGCGUCGCUAACAUUCAAAAACACUCUAGAACACUGUAAAAUACUCUAGAACACUGUAAAACAUUCUAGAACACUGUAAAAUACUCUAGAACACACACACAGCACAACGCUUUGGUCCUAUUCAAUCAAACACUACAACCAGGUUUCUGGGGAAAGGUACAAAAUGACAGAGAUCAUGUAGUGGUGUCUCUAGUUGGCUUCAGAGAGGAAAGAGGGAGACAGAGAGAGAGAGACAGAGAGAGAGAGACAGAGAGAGAGAGACAGAGAGAGAGAGACAGAGAGAGAGAGACAGAGAGACAGAGAGAGAGAGAGACAGAGAGAGAGAGAGACAGAGAGACAGAGAGAGAGAGAGAGAGACAGAGAGAGAGAGAGACAGAGAGAGAGAGACAGAGAGAGAGAGAGAGAGAGAGAAACUCAUCCAGACAGGGCAGACAGCCACAGGUCUCGAGGGUUAGAUGUGUUGUUAUUUGUUAUUUUUGGAGACUGAUAUUUUGGGGUGUUUUUGUUGUAUUCUUCUACUCUGGUGAGGAGGAAGUGGACAGGAACUGGCUGACAUUUUCUAAACAGAAGCCCUAAGGGGAUAGGUGCUGUGUUUUACCAGACUAGUGUUACCUCAGUGUUAUUAGUUUCCCUGAUGAAACGCCUGAAGCUCCUGACACUAAUUUAAUCUCUGUUUCUUUCUGUUACAUCUGUUAGACUAGAGCUCUCCUGAUCUGGUAUUGAUUCUGUUAGACUAGAGCUCUCCUGAUCUGGUAUUGAUUCUGUUAGACUAGAGCUCUCCUGAUCUGGUAUUGAUUCUGUUAGGUCUGUUAGACUAGAGCUCUCCUGAUCUGGUAUUGAUUCUGUUAGACUAGAGCUCUCCUGAUCUGGUAUUGAUUCUGUUAGACUAGAGCUCUCCUGAUCUGGUAUUGAUUCUGUUAGACUAGAGCUCUCCUGAUCUGGUAUUGAUUCUGUUAGACUAGAGCUCUCCUGAUCUGGUAUUAAUUCUGUUAGACUAGAGCUCUCCUGAUCUGGUAUUCAUUAUGUUAGGUCUGUUAGACUAGAGCUCUCCUGAUCUGGUAUUAAUUAUGUUAGGUCUGUUAGACUAGAGCUCUCCUGAUCUGGUAUUGAUUCUGUUAGGUAGGUUAGACUAGAGCUCUCCUGAUCUGGUAUUCAUUCUGUUAGGUCUGUUAGACUAGAGCUCUCCUGCUCUGGUAUUGAUCCUGUCCCUAACAUUGUCUUACAAUCAAUGUGCUCUGCUAGAUCUGGUGGGCUCUAGGUUUUAGGCUCUUGAAUUAAUUUGUUCAUGUCACGCCUGCUCCCACUCCCCCUCCCCCUCCCUGGCGCUCGAGGGCGCCAGGCUGCCCAUCUUUACGCACACCUGUCACCCUCAUUAUGCGCACCAGUGCAAUAUUGGACUCACCUGGACUCCUUCACUUUGUUGAUUUCCCCUUCUAUAUCUGUCUGUUCCUCAGUUUGUUCCCUGUGUCAGCAUUAAUGUCGUUAUGUUUUUCAUGUCCAGAUGCUGUCCUGUCUUGUUUCAUGUCUGUUUAUGAAUUAAAUGUGCACUCCCUGUAUUUGCUUCUCGUCUCCAAGCGUCUGUCCUUAAGGUUCAUGUGUUCCGUCAUUCAUCUAUUCUAUUCAUUUAUUCUAUUCAUUAAUUUAUUCAUUCAUCCAUUUACUCAUUAAUUCAUGCAUGCAUGCAUCCAUUCCUCCAUUCUUCCUGAACUCAGCAAACAUCUCCUCUAAUUCUGCUGCCUGCAAAUGGUCUGUAAGUGACUGAUCAGCAGUCCUGGUAUGAAUCAGUCAUUCAGAGGCUUCUCGUGCAUCUUAAAUAUGGCAUACAGGAACAGAGGGAACCUUUGGAAUGACAAAUGCAGUUAAAAAGAACUUUCAUGAAGAAUUUGGAAGCCUUUUUCAUUCAUAUGUAAAAUGCAUGCGUGACUAAGUCACUUUGGAUUAAAGUUCCACUAAAUAUAUUAUUAUAUUGUCACAUUCUAAUGAGAGUUAGUGAAUCCUAGUUAUCUUGUCGACUAGGCUGCUGACUGCCAGUUCAUGUUUCCUAUGCAGAUAGCACAUUAAAAUACAAUGGCAUUCAAAGGUGUCCUCUUAUCUCAGGAAAUAAUGAGCUGUUUUUGAAUAGGAGAUUCAUAUUAUUCUGCAUAGAAAAAUAAAUACAUGUAACUCCUCUGUCUAUGGCUUCCAAUUAAUUUAGUCUCUGAUCUAUUCUGGUGUCACCACAUUAAAUUCCUUGGAAACGUGUGUGAGAGAGAAAAAGAAAUACAAAAUGUGAAUAUAAUUCAUGCUGAGAACCAUUGGACUGUGCCAGCCAGUGGUAGAACUGUAUCUUCCUUAAAGAUAAUUGUAUUUCCCCCCCAACAUAUUUUCCUCCUGACAAAGAAGAGAGGAGAUAUAUGUGAUUAAGUUGAAAGUGAGUGUAGGGGAAUGCGGAAAUAAGUGGUAUAAUUAGUAUUAGCUGUAAUUUGGAUGGUGUUUUAAAGUACUCCUGUGGUGUCUGAGGGAGAUACUGAGGGUUAAUGAAGAAAAACACCCUAUUCCCUAUCUAGUGCACUACUUUUGGCCAGGGUCCAUAGUGCUCCAGUCAAAGUAGUGCACUACAUAGUAAAUAGGGUGCUGUUUGGGUCACAAGCCCGGACCACUCUCCUGUAGACCUCUGCCACUGCUGUCUCUGCCACUGUUAGAUGUGCACUGUGAAGAAUACAGAGAGGAACCCAUAUCAAUAUGACCUUGGGAAGGGUAGCAGGGAAGGGGAGGUCAGUGAUUGAACCAGCCAAUUAUGCUAGAGCAAGUAAGGCCACCUAAAUUUGUAUAUGCUGACCAUACAAUCUGACCCAUUAGCUGAACCUUAGUCAUAGGGCUAUGGUCAAAAGUAGUGCACUAUAUAGGGAAUAGGAUGACAUUUUGGAUACACCCUUAGAGAUAAUGUGUCUACCUAUUCUCUACUGCUGUUCAGUGGAAGAUGUCCACAAACACCAGGAACACUUUCACUGUCUGGAUGCCACAAACAACGCCAACAUAAGUAAACAUCCAGCCAGCCAUUAACUAAUAAUGGGUUAUACGUUAUAUGACUGAGCCUGAAAAGACACAUCAGAGUAGCAAUAAGACAUGUUAGAGGGGGAAAGAAAUAUGUCUAUGGGAAGAUGUAGUGAUAGACAAUGAUGUUAGCCCCACCAGGAAACAGGCUUAAUGGACAGAGUGGUUCUGAUGAUAAGAGUCAAUUCUGCUGUUAUUGUGGAUGUUUUCCUCUUCCGGUCAACAUCCUGCUACUUUGUACAAUAACAACCAGAUAGAACCAGUCUGAGCUAAUCAGAGCCAGAUAGAACCAGUCUGAGACAGUCAGAAUCAGAUAGAACCAGUCUGAGCUAAUCAGAAUCAGAUAGAACCAGUCUGAGCUAAUCAGAAUCAGAUAGAACCAGUCUGAGCCAGUCAGAAUCAGAUAGAACCAGUCUGAGCUAAUCAGAAUCAGAUAGAACCAGUCUGAGCUAAUCAGAAUCAGAUAGAACCAGUCUGAGCCAGUCAGAAUCAGAUAGAACCAGUCUGAGCCAGUCAGAAUCAGAUAGAACCAGUCUGAGCCAGUCGGAAUCAGAUAGAACCAGUCUGAGCCAAUCAGAAUCAGAUAGAACCAGUCUGAGCCAAUCAGAGCCAGAUAGAUCCAGUUGUUUAGCAUUUUAUAUUUAAACAUGAAGACUGUGAACUCCACUAUGUAUGUGCUAUCACCAGUAGGAUCCAUGGUGGACGUGAUGCUAUUGGUGGAUGCCUGUGAAGAAAACAGUACAUUAUUGAGUUGACAGAAGUUAAAAAGUGUGAAGAGGAGAAAAGUGGAAAAGUCUCUAGGGAAACUGAGGUUUUGAUAGAUGUUGUACAGACUUGUGUAACUGACCAGAUAUCGAACCCCGCUGUAAUCCCACUGAGCUAAAGCGUAGGUAUAAACUCUGGUAGCUAACGUGGGUCUUCAGGUCUCAGACAAUGUAACUCAUGACUUUGAUCAUGUGGUCUUCUUACUACAGCAUGAGUAAAUAUACAUAUUUUGGCCCAUCUUAAAACUUAAGGUUAAUUAUGGUAUUGUGAAUUCACAUUCCCAACAUGAUCGUGAAUUCCCAUGAAAAAACGUCUAAUUGUUGGCAUAACACCAGAUAGCCUUUUGGCAACAGGAUAAACCACUUGGCCCUCCUUUUUACAGACAGUCUUAUCCAGAGCAACUUACAGGAGCAAUUAGGGUUAAGUGCAUUGCUCAAGGGAAGCUAGUCGUCUCAGGGAUUCGAACCACCAACCUUUUGAUAACUGCUUGGCUCCCUGUUGCCCACACUCCUGAGGAGACUGCUUGCAUCCCAAAUUGCAACCUAUUCUCUCUAUAAGACAGUCAAAAAAUAUCAUAAAGAAUAAGGAAUAGGUUUUUGAAGUGUCUGUCCUACAGUGGUGGAAAAAAGUAUUUGAUCCCCUGCUGAUUUUGUACGUUUGCCCACUUACAAAGAAAUGAUCAGUCUAUAAUUGUAA
rnacentral:lncRNA from 1 species